rnacentral:lncRNA from 1 species
CUCCCGUCUCCAUGGGAACGUUCUGAGUGUCCAGUCCCAGGCCUGAGGCUUUGGUUUUGGUCAAACAGGGUGGCAGACAUUGUUUGGACGGAGUAUUUGAGUUGGUCCCUGUUCCUCUCCAGAGGCUCCGUAGGUGACGCGGACUCUCAGGAGCACCGAACCAGAAGCAGACAAGGACGAGAAGAGCUGUGGCGGAAGAGAGAGGGCCAGGUGUCGAGAAGUCGUUCAGGCUUAGAAAUCUCGGACUCCAGUGUAGGGACCUGUGAUCAGCAAGGGAGGACCAGAGUGUCAAAGACUAAUGCCCCCAUUUUACAGGUGAGGAAAGUGAGGUCCUAGAAGGUUUAGAAGUUUGGUCUUUUUCAGAGUUCUACAAGUGGUUGGUGGGAUUAUCAUCACAUCGUGGAAGCCCUAGAUCUGGGAUCUUCUGCUGAGACUCUCUACUCUGAUCUAAUAGUAAAUCCAAUAUUUAUGUUGUAAGAAGUGGGGCGGGAGAGGGUGAUGGAAUUAACCUUUCUACUUAACUGACUGAACAAAAUUUUAAAAAUACUUUUAGAAAGAAGCUUUUUAAGUGUGCUGUUAUUCCAAUUGUUUUUAUUUUUCUUGUUAAUCGUAAACUCGGCAAAUUUUGAUGCUCAGAGAGGUUAAAUUACAUGGAAAGCAUCUGUAUUCCUGGAGAGACUAAACUUUGAGAUCAAAUUCUAUGUUUUCAUGCCCAGGCUAGAACUGUACUUUUCUAGAUAUUCAUAAAUGACGUCCUGAGUGUAAGUUAAUAUAAGUCUCCUUUCUGUUCUUGGGCUCUUUCUGACAUCUUUCUGGGAGUUUUGGGGGUCACACUCAAAUCUUAGUGCAUGGGGAUUGUAGUGAGUUUGGGAAUUUCAAGUCAUGCCAGUCUUUCAUUCCUCCUCUCUCCUCUCUCAGCUCAGCCUUCUCAACACUCCACACUUCCCUAGAAAAGGAGCACAAAGGAGGAAAGAAUGGUCACUCUUUCCCUCACAGUCUGAUCCUGGGUGAGUAGGACUGUCUUCUCUUAUUUAU